CAAGACUCCCCCAGCCGCUGAGCCCUUCGCCGCCUCUGAGAUCCGCCGCCGCCGCCGCCCCUCUGAUUCUGGCCGACGCCAACCGACUCACGCGCCGGCCGCCACCAGCGCGGCUCACCCUUGUCUCCCCAAUCGAUGCACAGCACCUCCUCGCCGUUCCCUCCCUGCGCGCGCCCCUGCGGCUAACCCUAGCCGCCAACUCGUGUUGCGGGCACUGAGGAUGGGAGCGGGGCAGCCGCGUCGCUGAGGGGUUGGACCGGCUGGGGCGUCACCACUUGGGUGGAGAAGUAGGGGCAGCGGUGGCGCCGUGUUGGGGCGGAGGAGAAGGAUGGCGACGACGGGCGAAGACAUCGUUGGCGGCGGCGGCGGCGGCGAAUCUGGUAGAGCCCCUUUCUCUUCCCAAGCCUGCCCCUCUCACCCUUUUCCUCAAGCGGCAAGACCCCAGGGGGAUCGAGGUUGCGACGCUGACGUUAUCUCCUACUCGGGAUCCAGGGUGAGAAUCUCGUGUCUUUCCUCUUCUUCUCUGGUGACUAUGGUUUGAAGAUUUGGGAUCAGGCAGCUGGCCUUGGCGGGGGUCACAUUGCAAGAACCGAAGCAGAUGCAGUAGAGAAGCAGAAGCGACCAGUUCACUCCGUUAUGAAAUCUUGUUUCUGAUUCUUGGAUCCUGUGUAGUAGAGAAGCAGAACUCAGCGGGUAUUCCUUUGGAUACAUUAUGAGGUUGUUUCUUCUUUGUUUACUGACAGCAAGAAUUGACAGCCUUUUUCUUUUGUACUUUGUCUGUCUUAAUCACCUAGCUUACCUGGAUUCAAGAGUAUGACGGGUUUUUUUAGAGAGGAAUAGAGGAUGGCUGUUGGUUGUUGUACGCUGAAGGUCGUAUAUAUUAUUUGUUUGCCUCCAACGAAGCUGCAGGUCUGAUCCAAGCAAGCAAGUUUGUUCUUAUCUGAUCCUAAAACAAAUAUCAUGACAGAAUAACGUAUAAGCAAUGCAGUGUACCAAUAUAUACAAGUGCAUAAGUUAUUCUCCUAGCUUUUACAUGCUGGGCCAUUGUUAGGAACUAUUCCUUAUGCUGAAGGUUGAAAAUGAGGCUGUCACUGCUGAAGAUUGGCACCAGCACGGGUGUCGUUCGGCUUCGCUGCUUGAUUCGGCAAGGUCCUCGCGUUCUUCUUCAAGGAGGACUUUGCACUCAAGGUAGGGGCCAUCUUCAAAGCCGCCUGCCCGCUCUACGAUGGCGCACUGCAAGAACGCCUCGGUCAUCACCUGAAUCUCAUGGAGCGUGUUGCAGGCUGUGGAACGGGCUCCGCGAGGUUCGUAUGUUGAUGUUUGUGCUCAAAAUUUUGACAAUUCCACUCAAAUAGCACUUCUCCAGUGUAUGUAUAUAUGCAAUCUACUGCAAUCUGUAAUUACAAGCUCCGGGAGAGCACCGUGGCCUCUGCUAUCCGUGACACGAGAUAGGUCCCUUCCCUGACGUAGGCAAUAGCCCCAUCCCUUGCUGAUACGGAUAAAGACCUAAGAAUCCUUUUAUUGAUUCCCCUCUCAAGCAUGUACCCGAUCGGUUGGAACGUGGAAACAUCACAAAUUCACAUGUGAGUAGCGGAGAGAACAAGGUCAAGGCCAUGUCCAUAAGCAAGGGUAGCAAGGCAUCCGGCGAGGGUGCUGGUUGCGGAUGAUAUCGUACGGAGGUGCUGCUGCCUCCUCUGGGUGGUCGGCUGGUGGUCAAGCCAUCGCCGGCGCCGGUGCCAAAGCUGUUGUACCACUUCCCCGUCGCAGGGUUCGACGCCAAGGCGGCGUACUCAUUUCAUGUUCCUCGUCGCGCCCCAGGGAGAACGAGUUGUUGUUCAUCACCUUUACUAUGCACGAUGCAACACCUGGAGGUGCUGACGCCCACAUCGUGCCAUAGCCUCACCAUCAUGUACGAUGCUAAAGAGGGGCUCAGGUGCAGCCCGGUUGGGGUUCGACAGUACGCUUGAACACUAAGGCCGUGAGGCUAAUCAGCGGGAUGCACGGGCCCCAUGAGUAGCAGGACAUGAGGUGUACACUACUGGAGGCGGAUGCUGCUGGAAGGCUGUUGGCCGGCGGCAGCCCGAGCGGUGCCCUUAGGAUGCGUUUGUCUGUGGCCAACACUAGCCAAACAAGUACAUCUCUGAUCUCUCUCUUUUGCUAGCUAUCUCUUCUACUAAACAGCAUACCUAUUGUUAUCUAGAUGACUGGAUGCACAACCACAUAAGUUGUUCGACGCAUGCUCUAACAUGCGAUGAUUGAUUUUAUGCAUCUUCUGUGAGCACUUGCUAAAAUAAUUAAUGUCAUUGAUUUGGAUCGCUAG